rnacentral:lncRNA from 1 species
GCAUUAAUCACCAGCAUGUCCGUCGGAACCCAAGCAAAAAUAUCUGCAUUCUUUUGUAAAAAAUUGAUGAGCGAUGUCCGUACAUCUUCUCCCAGGUUGGAGCCGAUCUUCACCACAUGCUCCUCAUUCUCAUCGUUCAAAGAAAUUGAGACAAGAUCUUCAAUCGACUCACCCCGUUCUUCAGCAAGGUCGUCGUGGGUGUCUAAUCCAUCAAUCGGACAGGGGUUAGACUGAUCAUUUCUUUGUAGGGCUAUGUUAUAGCAGUGUCUUGCCAGGACUUGAUCUCCUCUAACCUCUCCGACCCUUUGGCUAGUAGAAAAUUUCAACUUCAAAUGGUAGGUCGAUACCACAGCUCGGAGGGUGUUGAGGUCGGAUCGGCCGAGUAUUGCGUUGUAGGCAGACGAUGCCCUUACUACCAGAAAAUUCACUUGCGCUCUAGAUUGUUUCGGGUACCGACCUGCAACUACGGUUAAAGUUAUUACUCCUUUCACUGGCACAGCAUCGCUAGUGAACCCUACUAACGGAGAGCUUAUCGGCCCUAAUCGACCAUCCAGAAUGGAUAUUUUUGAAAAUGCAUCGUAAAACAAAAUAUCGAUCGAGCUUCCACUAUCAACA